CAAGUGCCUUGCUGCUUCCAUCAAGUGGUCCUGGCUGAAUUAUCUUCCGGGGAAGACAACUAGGCUUGUGAAAUCUCAUGCCUGACAGCACAAUUUUGCAUGACACUUCUGACCUGCAUGUCAAGAGAAAACGCAAGAUUGAAGAAGCCCAUGGGUUAACAAGAUUGAUGAGCAGUGUCCACCAUCCUUUCACUACAUACCUCAUAGCCUCGCUUUCUCUAGUGCUUCUAUCAAUUUCUCCCUUUCUGAGAUCGGAAAUGAGAAUUGCUGUUCAAAUUGUUAUGGUGACUGCCUGCCUUGUCCAGUACCCUGUGCUUGUGCAUGUGCAAAUGGGGGUGAGUUUAUAUACACUGUGAAAGGUCUUGUAAAGGAAGCUUUUUUGUUGAAGUGUAUUUCUGUCAAUCGCGACCCUAAAAAGAGCCACCACUUAUAUUGUUGGGAAUGCCCUCUAGAAAAGUCAAAAGAUAACAACAUUUUAGAACCGUAUACGGGCCACCUGAAGAGAAAAUUUAUCAAACAGUGCUGGAGAAAGUGUGGUUGUGGUAAACAUUGUGGCAAUCGAGUGGUGCAGCGGGGCAUAAGUUAUAAUAUGCAGGUGUUUAUGACGCCUGAAGGAAAAGGGUGGGGUCUGCAAGCACUGGAUGAACUGCCUAAAGGUGCAUUUGUAUGUGCUCCUUGAUUCUGAUUGGAGCUCCAUGUGUGUGAAGGAUGAUGAAGCUCUUUGUUUGGAUUCAACGACCUUUGGAAACAUUGCUAGGUUUAUCAACCAUAGGUCAAAGUUCUCAACAAACUUGCUUCAACUCGAGCUUCAGGAGUAGGUAGCGGCAGCAGAGUCUUGACAGAUUUGGUAGAGGGUCUAGAAGAAGCAGCCGUUGCUGUAGAAUUGAGGUUGAAGAUCAACCAGAGUCAUCCGGACUUAAAGGGAGGAUCUUUCUGAGACUAUGGAGAGGCAGUGUUGAAGCACUUGGAGAACUCUAUUGAUUUGGACCCAAAGCUUCAGAAAGCUCCAGUAAAUUAUAAAGGAGUCCGGGUAUCUGGGUUUGGAGGAUGGUUCCUUCUGAGGCUCUCGCUUUAUGAUCCUGUUCUUCCUCUUAACAUUGAGGCACCAACUCAUGAUGACGCUGUAAAACUUGGACUUGCUGUGCUUGGGGCUAUUAAGGAGUUUGCAGCUUUGGAUACAUCCGCUUUAGACAAGUUUGUUCAAGUAUCAUGAGCCGAUGAUGCAGAGCGCUUUGGUACAAGUAUCUUUCGGCACAUUAGACUAGCAGUUAAAGUUGGCUUUGGCGUCUACCUCUGUACAGUACGUAUAAUCAGUGCGUCAAUCUCUGAUGCUGAGGAGGUUCAUUUUCCAGAUGGUUUUGGUCACAGGCACUCAAAAUAGUACUUGAUGGCUAUGUUUACUUUAGUUUUUACUUAUGUUCCAUGUAUGCAACAGGGAUGUUCUGAUAAAUAAGAAACGUUCUUCGACUACAGAAUUUGUCGGAGGGAUGUUUGAAGUUGUGAUGCAACUAGUUUUUCUCGUUUUUAUAAUGUUCGAUUAAUUUUGA